rnacentral:rRNA from 1 species
AACGAACGCUGGCGGCAUGCCUAACACAUGCGAGUCGAACGGAACCUUCGGGUCUAGUUGCGCACGGGUGCGUAACGCGUGGGAACCUGCCCUUAGGUUCGGAAUACCUCCCCGUAAGGGGUGCUAAUACCGGAUAAUGUCUUCGGACCAAAGAUUUCUCGCCUUUGGGUGGGCGCGUGUUGGCUUCGCUGGUUGGUAGGGUAAAAGCCUACCAAGGCGACGAUCCAUAGCUGGUCGGAGAGGAUGCCCCGCCACACUGGGACUGAGACACGGCCCAGACUCCUACGGGAGGGAGCAGUGGGGAGUAUUGGACGAUGGGCGAAAGCCUGAUCCAGCCAUGCCGCGUGAGUGAUGAAGGCCUUAGGGUUGUAAAGCUCUUUUACCCGGGAUGAUAAUGACAGUAACGGGAGAAUAAGCACCGGCUAACUCCGUG